GACGAACGCUGGCGGCGUGCCUAAUACAUGCAAGUAGAACGCUGAAGGAGGAGCUUGCUUCUCUGGAUGAGUUGCGAACGGGUGAGUAACGCGUAGGUAACCUGCCUGGUAGCGGGGGAUAACUAUUGGAAACGAUAGCUAAUACCGCAUAAGAGUAGAUGUUGCAUGACAUUUGCUUAAAAGGUGCAAUUGCAUCACUACCAGAUGGACCUGCGUUGUAUUAGCUAGUUGGUGAGGUAACGGCUCACCAAGGCGACGAUACAUAGCCGACCUGAGAGGGUGAUCGGCCACACUGGGACUGAGACACGGCCCAGACUCCUACGGGAGGCAGCAGUAGGGAAUCUUCGGCAAUGGACGGAAGUCUGACCGAGCAACGCCGCGUGAGUGAAGAAGGUUUUCGGAUCGUAAAGCUCUGUUGUAAGAGAAGAACGAGUGUGAGAGUGGAAAGUUCACACUGUGACGGUAUCUACCAG
rnacentral:rRNA from 1 species